CGUAGGGUGCGAGCGUUAAUCGGAAUUACUGGGCGUAAAGCGUGCGCAGGCGGUUUUGUAAGCCAGAUGUGAAAUCCCCGGGCUCAACCUGGGAAUGGCAUUUGGGACUGCAAGGCUUGAGUGCGGCAGAGGAGACUGGAAUUCCUGGUGUAGCAGUGAAAUGCGUAGAUAUCAGGAGGAAUACCGAUGGCGAAGGCAGGUCUCUGGGCUGACACUGACGCUCAUGCACGAAAGCGUGGGGAGCAAACAGGAUUAGGUACCCUGGUAGUCCACGCCCUAAACGAUGUCGACUGGUUGUUGGGGGUUUGACACUCUCAGUAACGAAGCUAACGCGUGAAGUCGACCGCCUGGGGAGUACGGCCGCAAGGUUA
rnacentral:rRNA from 1 species